rnacentral:rRNA from 1 species
UGGGGAAUUUUGGACAAUGGGCGCAAGCCUGAUCCAGCCCAUGCCGCGUGCGGGAAGAAGGCCUUCGGGUUGUAACCGCUUUUGNCAGGGAAGAAAUCUUCUGAGUUAAUACCUCGGGAGGAUGACGGUACCUGAAGAAUAAGCACCGGCUAACUACGUGCCAGCAGCCGCGGUAAUACGUAGGGUGCAAGCGUUAAUCGGAAUUACUGGGCGUAAAGCGUGCGCAGGCGGUUUUGUAAGACAGAGGUGAAAUCCCCGGGCUCAACCUGGGAACUGCCUUUGUGACUGCAAGGCUUGAGUGCGGCAGAGGGGGAUGGAAUUCCGCGUGUAGCAGUGAAAUGCGUAGAUAUGCGGAGGAACACCGAUGGCGAAGGAAUCCCCUGGGCCUGCACUGACGCUCAUGCACGAAAAGCGUGGGGAGCAAAACAGGAUUAGAUA